GACGAACGCUUGCGACGUGCCUAAGAAAUGCAAGUCGAACGGGGUAGCAAUACCUAGUGGCGAACGGUCGCGUAACACGUGGGCAACCGCCCUGAAGCGGGGGACAACAAGUCGAAAGAUUUGCUAAUACCGCAUGUGUCUCGCUGCGGCAUCGCAGAGGAGACAAAGCCGCAAGGCACUUCAGGAUGGGCCCGCGGCCUAUCAGCUUGUUGGUGAGGUAACGGCCCACCAAGGCUUCGACGGGUAGCUGGUCUGAGAGGACGAUCAGCCGGAUUGGGACUGAGAUACGGCCCAGACUCCUACGGGGGCAGCAAUUAGGAAUCUUGCACAAUGGGCGAAAGCCUGAUGCAGCGACGUCGCGUGAAGGAUGAAAUCUUUCGGGAUGUAAACUUCUUUUAACGGGGAAAGAAACAAAUGACGGUACCCGUUGAAUAAGCCCCGGCUAACUACGUGCCAGCCGCCGCGGUAAU
rnacentral:rRNA from 1 species